rnacentral:rRNA from 1 species
AUUGAACGCUGGCGGCAUGCCUUACACAUGCAAGUCGAACGGCAGCACGGGAGCAAUCCUGGUGGCGAGUGGCGAACGGGUGAGUAACAUAUCGGAACGUGCCCAGUAGUGGGGGAUAACCCGGCGAAAGCCGGACUAAUACCGCAUACGACCUACGGGUGAAAGCAGGGGAUCGCAAGACCUUGCGCUAUCGGAGCGGCCGAUAUCAGAUUAGCUUGUUGGUGGGGUAAAAGCCUACCAAGGCGACGAUCUGUAGCUGGUCUGAGAGGACGACCAGCCACACUGGGACUGAGACACGGCCCAGACUCCUACGGGAGGCAGCAGUGGGGAAUUUUGGACAAUGGGCGCAAGCCUGAUCCAGCCAUGCCGCGUGCGGGAAGAAGGCCUCGGUU